UAAAGCAUCCUAACAGUGCCAACAUGUAAAUGAUUCAAUUUAUGAAUUUUAGUUAUAUGUAAUAUACAGAUGAUGCCAAUGAUUGUUCAGAUAAGCUACUAGGUGUCCUGCUUUCGUUAUUUUAAUUUUCUUAUAGCAGACCGGAAUUUCAACUUUUGUAUCGUUUUAUUUGUAUGAACAUAACUUUUUAAAAUUUGUGGUCAGUGACAACAAGUCAUUGUGACACGUCACAAGUGUUCGUUGCAUCAUUAUCACUUGGCAUAAAUAGGUUACACAUCCCCACACAAACACCAGAGAGGCAGUAGGUGACGGACACGAUGACGGACACGACUGUAGCUGCAAGAAGAAUGGAGGUAGAGCCAUAUGUGAAUGUAUCAGCUGAUGAACGGAACAGCAGAGAGGAGCCAAAACGAUGUUGUCAUUCAGGAAGUUUAAAAAUCUUCGGGUUGGUUGGAAUCAGCUUUCUCCUGCUGUGCAUCAUACAGUCCAUUCUCAAUGCUACGCUUCGGCCACAAACAGAUGAAUUUAACAGGACCGACAACAGCUCAACUAACAAUUUCGUCAGAGACCUGAUUUUAGAGAGAGACGAACUGCUUC